UUUGAUUUUUAUCAUUUUUUAAUUAACUUUGAGGUUUUUUAUAUGAGGUUCUCAUGCUCGCGACACGGAAGUAAACUGCACGAGGCGCCUGCAGGUUAGCAGCGUUGCUUGUAAGCUAUCAGCGUGCUCACAAACCGGGGACGGUGGUUUUUUGUCCGGACAGUUGUGAGAUCAGGUUUUUGGCGUCCGUGACGGAAAGACAACGUGGAUUGCUGUGAUUGUGAGACUAGCAGACGAUCUGAGCUGCAGUGAAGUGAAGAGGACGGCGGUAUUUGUGGGAGUUGGAGCUGAAGUCUUCCUUGUCUUCCCUUCAGCCUCUGAGAGAGUUGAUCAGCGAGCGACUAGCUGCUGCUGCUGAAGAAAUCUUCCGACUCUGUGAAGGAACCAUCUUCCAGAACGAGGAGGAGCUCUGUCGUCAGCGCAGACUGCUGGAUGUUGUCUGGAAACCACAGCUGCAGGUCCAAGCUAUAGUCCUCUAGCAUUGGGUGACUAAAGAAGAAGAUCUCUGCAACUAGCAGAGGAAUUUCAGAGUGGAACAAAUAAUCCAGAACUCACACAGACUAAACAGGAACUAAAGGAACCAGAUUGAAGAUUGAAGGGGGGGGACUAGAACCUCCAAUGAUUAAAGAGGAGCAGGAAGAACUGGAGCCUCAAGUGGUUAAAGAGGAGCAGGAAGAACUAAAACCUCCAAUGAUUAAAGAGGAGCAGG